UUCAGACACAGCUAGCCAGA
rnacentral:misc_RNA from 1 species